UGAGAAUUGUGAUCAAUCAAGUUCUCCCAUAACGACAGACUGAGGAAUGAACAGGGAUGCAUUCCAAAGCCUGCUCUUCACCUGUCUUUUUUUUUUUUUCAUCUUCUUUCCAAACUUUGCAUUGGAAUUUUUCCAAAGCAGAAUAGCUGGACCAGUCUAAAGGUGAAGAUGGCACAGCUGUUCUUGCUCCAUAUGGGUUAUAAUGCUCAUUUGCCUCUUACCCUGGAUGUGGUGACAUAAACCCCUUGUGGCCUUCUCAUCCUGGCCACAUUCAUAUAGUUUUGUUUCAUCAUUAGCUCAGAUUUGUAUCAUCAACCACCAGGAGUUCUGUGGUAGUUUGGUGGGGGUUCCAGUUCUGUUCUUUGUCAACUAGCUUUGAUGCUAGUUUCUGCUCAACCUUCUGUUGAGCAGAACACAAACAUCUGCCCCGCCUCUAGGCCAAGGAGAAGACGGGUUAAUAUUCUGCCAACUGAAACCCUUUCUAAGGUACCGUGUACACAUGGGAAAAUGAACAGAUUCCAAGGGAAUCAGAAUUGAGACUAGAAAAAACAACAAAAAAACAAACUUUUUUUAUUGGCCACAAGAUGGCACUCUUGGCUUUUCUCACAUAUCUUUCCAAACCCCCCAACCCCUGCUCCACUUUACACCUUUGCAGCUUUAGGAGGUCGGUAAUUUGAUGAUGGGUAAAGCCAGCUACAGCUGUGGUCAUUUCUACUCAGGAUUAUGACUACUUUAUGCCUAAUGGAGAACAUCUGAAAAAUAUUCUCAAGGAAUAACUGUCCUCCAAAUGUGAACUGAAAAUAAAAAUGUGCCUAUUAAGUGAAUAAGUGGUCAGAACGUUAGACAUGAGUAGUGGGUGGAUGGCAGUGGAGGAGGCUUUAACCUAUCCUAACACUUAUUAAGCACUAAAAUUUAGUGUAUUAUUUUCAAGUAAUGAAGAUUAUUUCAUGUCUGUGGCUAUUAAAGGCAUUAAUUUGUUAAAUGCAAACUUUUAAAACUGUACGGUAAUUGAAUCUUUUGCCAUGACUUAUUUAUUCAUUUAUUUAUUUUUACACUUGGAGAGAUUUCCAAAAGUGGAGCCAUUAUGAUCUCUUGUGGCACCUGAAAGGCAACACUGGGUUUGUAAUUAUUCCAAUGAAAAGAAAAAAUUGCCAGUUGUUCAUUCAAGAAUAUUUAUUGAAAUGUGCUAGGUGCAGAUGUCAAGUUCAAUUCUAAACUGAGCUAGUAAAACUUUUUUCUGCUAAAUUCUUUAGGAAUUACUAAAAAUAAAAGUUCGCAUUUUAUGGUAUGCCUUCACUUUUUAAAGCUUUCGCAUAAGGCUUUGAUCACCGUAACAAGCCCUUGGAUGUGUGGAGCGAGUGCUGUUUUCUCUAUAAACCAUAGUAUGCCUUUUAUUAGAGAUGAUUUUUUAUGUUUUAAAUGUUUUUGAGAGGUUGAUGAGAGUUCCAACAAUAUCAGUGCAAGUCCCAAUUUAUAUGCCACAUGAUCGAUCAGUUCUGUGCAUCAGUAUCUGGGUUAAUAAGUACAUCAAGCAGCAUCUCAAGGGAGCUGGCAUUCCUUAUGUUCUUCAUCAACAUACUUACUGUUUUUUGUAUGGCUCACUAAUGUUUUCUGAAUCUUUUGUAAAUUGACAAAUAAAAGUAACUUUGGUGCCCCCUUCCAACACCAGACUCCUCCUGUAGAUACUUAGCUUAGAACUGACACCAACUUCCACUUCCACUCUUGAUUUGGCUGUAAUUUACUAUUAACCCUAUCAAGUUUUGACUUUUCUGAGACUGGGUCUUAAUCUUUAGCCUUUAAAAUUCAGGAUUAGACUUUGAUCUUUGAGGUUAGUCUACCUAUGUAAGUCUAAC
rnacentral:lncRNA from 1 species